UAGAAACAUAAAAAUCCAAGGCUUCUCUUGGAAUGGAGCUUUGGCAGCAGCCCCUGCCUAAGCAUGAUCCAUUGAUCAAAUCUUCAAAUCGCUCACAAUAAGAAAUGCACCCAGUGACAAAACCCUUCGGUCGCGAGCCUUGAAUAUAUGAGAAGGUAUCACAACCAAUGGCAGUUAACUUGUUCUGGGUGUAGGAAAUGGGGAAUUUAGGCACACGAAGGCUGG
rnacentral:misc_RNA from 1 species